GCACGUUAACCGACUUCGAAAACAAAACAAAACAAAACAAAACACUAAAAGCGCGCGUCAUCUCGCUUCGCUCUUGUUUGAAUCAACUAGCAGCUACGCGACGGAGAGGGUGAAAGUGAAAAUCAUCAGACUGCGCCGCGCCGAUAUAGGAGAGACAGAGACAGAGACAGAGACAGAACUAAUAGAAGGAAAAGUAGGCGAAUAGAGAGAAAAAAAGAAUCUGCUUUCAAGCAUCUCGCGCGCGGUCUAGUCUAGUCGGACUCUUCGCCUAGGGGGGGCCUAGGUGGAUUUUUGAUGGCAGUGGUGGGGCCGAGCCGGCACUCGCGGGUGUCCAUGAGCGUGUCGAUGUCGCUUAUGCAGGGGGGUGGGGCCGGGGCUACCGGCGGCGGCGGAGGCGGCGGGACGACCGGGACUCACCCGGGACAGGCGGUCCUCGCCGCGGCUGCGGCGGCUGCUGCCGUCGCCCAGGCCCCCCCGACUUAUUACCACCCCGCCGCCCCCGCACCCCCACCUCCUCCACCUACUCAGGACCCAGUUCAGCCGGACAGACCCAUCGGGUACGGGGCCUUCGGAGUCGUCUGGGCUGUCACAGAUCCCAGGGACGGUCGUAGAGUGGCGUUAAAAAAACUGCCGAACGUCUUUCAGAGCUUGGUCAGCAGUAAACGAGUGUUUCGAGAGUUGAAGAUGUUGUGCUUCUUCAAACACGAAAAUGUACUAUCUGCAUUGGACAUACUUCAGCCACCACAUCUAGACUUCUUCCAGGAAAUUUACGUGAUAACCGAGCUCCUCCAAAGUGACCUGCACAAGAUCAUCGUCAGCCCGCAGCAUCUCAGCGCAGAUCACAUAAAGGUCUUCUUGUACCAAAUACUGAGAGGAUUAAAGUAUCUGCACUCGUCGAGAAUUCUGCAUCGUGAUAUUAAGCCAGGAAAUCUGUUGGUAAACAGCAAUUGCGUUUUGAAGAUCUGUGAUUUCGGCCUCGCCAGAGUCGAGGAACCUGACCAGAACAAACACAUGACUCAGGAGGUGGUUACGCAGUACUACAGAGCACCAGAAAUUCUUAUGGGUGCGCGGCACUAUUCAGCUGCAGUUGACGUGUGGAGCGUUGGUUGUAUCUUCGGUGAGCUUCUUGGUAGGCGAAUUCUGUUCCAGGCGCAAAGUCCGGUACAACAGCUUGAACUGAUCACAGAGCUGCUUGGUACUCCUUCGUUGGAAGACAUGAAGUAUGCCUGCGAAGGAGCCAGAUCUCACAUGCUGAGACGAGCGCCAAAACCGCCUUCUCUAACCGCUCUCUACACUCUUAGUAGUCAGGCUACACACGAAGCUGUUCAUCUCUUGUGUCAGAUGCUGGUGUUUGAUCCGGAUAAAAGAAUCACCGUCGUCGACGCUCUGGCUCAUCCUUAUCUCGACGAAGGAAGACUGCGUUAUCAUUCCUGCAUGUGCACUUGCUGUUAUACCGCUAGCGCAGGAAUGCGGCAAUAUACUGGCGAUUUUGAGCCUGCUACAUCACACACAUUUGACGAUUUGUGGGAAAGAAAAUUGACCAGUGUGCAGCAGGUGAAAGAGGAAAUGCACAAAUUUAUUGCGGAACAGCUGAACACAACGCGCGUACCACUGUGUAUAAACCCACAGUCAGCGGCGUUCAAGAGUUUCGCAAGAAAGAAAACGAAAUACCAAUACCUUGUCCCGUAUUAUCCUGAGAAUCGUAAAAUGAUCAAAGAUGACCGAAAUCCUGAAUAAUUAAAAUCUCCAAAUCGUACUGAACCAAACUUCCCUUAAAAAUAUCCAUACAAUGAUCAUUGUGAUUCGUCUGAUACUGAUCUUGAUCGUCUUGCUUACUGCCGUCAAGUUAGAGCAAGCCAUCUGCCAACCCAGCACCGUGCGCCGCGUAUACGUACACAUUACCACUACCGAAUCAACUAUCUACCACUGUCAGCUACCACUAUCAACUACUACUACUAUCAGCUACUACCAAUCGUUACGUCUUCUCCUGAACGAAAGAAAGAAUGACCGAGAAUCAUCUAUAAGUCGGCACGACCUCGCUCGCAGAGCUCAACGGUGGCCCAUCCUUCGGAACUGCCACCCUCUCCACAUCAAUGGGAAUAAUGUUUUCCCUGGGUCCAAAUAUAUCCGAUUUUCUACAAAGGGCAUGACGACGAACGGUCAACAGAAUUGCACUUGUCGCAUCCAGCGAAAGGAAGGAAGAGAUGAGAGAGGAAAUUGCGAAGAAGGAAACAAACUGAAUCCAGCCCCAGAAAAAACGGAGACCUAUCAAAGCAGUUGGGCCCUCAGAGCGCUAAGAGAGACAAUAGACUGCUGAGCAAGUAGCCUCAAUUUCGAGUCUAGUUAAUAGACGAACGUAGCUAAAUAUUAGACAAAUAGUAAGAAUACAAAAUAGCAAAUAAUAGUACCAGAAAGAAGCGGAACACUGAAAUAGGCCAGUUUUUAGCUUGAUUCGUACAAAGACAGCUGGCAUUUAACUGAUCAUAAUAAUAAUAAUAAUAAUAAUAAUAAUAAUAAUAAUAAUAAUAACACUAAUAAUAA